CCAUCAUCACCAUCAUCCUGACUAGUCUUUCAGGCAGAUUGGUGCUGGGAGACUUUUAAGAUCUUCCAGUGGCGCAGAAUGCAGCAGUGAGCCCUCGGAAGAUUUCUUCCGGGGGCUUUUUUUU
rfam:Dendroctonus ponderosae Seq01004553, whole genome shotgun sequence.